GGGCUUGAACUUUAGGCUCUAACCCGUUGUCUUCUCGAAAUAGGGUUAGUGGUCUUCUUCUAUCUACGCGAUACAACAAUGGAGAUCAAAUCAAGCCAGCCGGUGAUCAAAUCAAGCUAGCUGAAUCGUCCUCGGGAACCUUCGUAUCAAGCAGCCGUUGUUUCGUAUUUAACCCUAGACGUUACGAUUUGUCUUCGUCUUAACUCCACCGACGUGAAUCAAGGACAACUUCUCAUUCAAUGGUACUCAUCUAACACCAGGGCGGUUUUCUUUUACUUAUAAAAGGAUAAGUCUUCUACCCUUAACAUCAUCCUCACAUUUUGUGAUUCUCCAAAACAAAGAAAAUUCCCAAUUAUGGCUAACUCAUCUGUUCUUCUUGGUGAUCAUUACUGAACCUAUUUUUUUUUCACAAUGUUGUUUUAUAAAGAUCUUUUUCACAUUUUUUACAGUCUCCAGGCUGGUUCACCGGUGCAACCAUAACUUCAGGCUUUCGGAGUCUCUUCUGAAAAUCCGGUUAAGUGAUUCAACCAAUCUAGAUGUGCUAAACGAACCAGAUUCUCCCAUUUCUGGAGAACGUUUCAGGUUCGAUGAUCACGAUGUUUCAUCGCUCUGCAAUCUUGGAGCAGAGGAGCUGCAGCUUCUUUUCAUCUCCUUCGUCCAGUUGGUCCGUACCCUAAGCUAUACGAUGCUGGAGUAGUGCAAGCAGUCAAGUUCGAUGAGAGACUCAACAAGCCGUUAUUGGUGAGCUCACUGUUGUGAGAAGUACACUGAGUGACAUUCCUCAGGUAAAAGAGCGAGUUACGGCGACUAUCAAGAUAGACAGACAUAUCUCUGUCACUUUGAGUCUGUUUGAUUCACAGGCUGACUCUUUUCACAAUAAACUUGAAGGAUUCCGGGAUAUCUAGGGGUUGUUGUUGCAAGUAGCAUUAACACAAAGAUUGUAGGAGGACGUUUGUUCUUGAAUGCCACCUCGGGAACACGUGUUUUCCGACGAGGAAACUGAUGCAGAAGCUAGACAUGUCUCUUUCAUUUAAAGAUCAGUCAAAACAGAAGACACUCAGAUCUCAAUUCUUACUCUAUAGUACAUGAAGAAGUCUCAGGUAGAUAUUUCUUUCCCUGUGUCAUCUAAUCUUCUUACUGUUCAAAGUAUGAAGGCUGUCUCAAGAACGGAGAUGUCGAUUGCAUCAUCCUUAGCACGUUAAACAUGACAAGACAUGAUCAUUUGAAGAAAGAAAUAGAUGUGUAUCUGCUGCAGUUGUACGGCUACUGAUAUAGAGGACACAAAAGAGGAUAAAUACAAAACAGAGAUCUGCAGUACUUUGAUGAACUAGAAGCUACAUUUGAUGUGUGGCCUUCUCCCAAACUGGAACCAUCAACAACCUACUUUGUCUAAAUAUAAAAAGAGUCUUAACAGCAAGUAGGGUGUAAUCAUAUCUACUUAAUAUAUAAGCCCACAUGUAGAAAAAGCAUAUGAGUGCACACAAGGAUUUGGUCUAUGUGUUUUUGUAUAUAAUAUUCUUUCUAGACUGCGAUUCUACUUGAAUCUUCUUCUCUGAA